UCCUACGGGGGGCAGCAGUGAGGAAUAUUGGUCAAUGGUCGGGAGACUGAACCAGCCAAGCCGCGUGAGGGAUGAAGGUACAGAGUAUCGUAAACCUCUUUUGUCAGGGAACAAAGGCGGGGACGUGUCCCCGGAUGAGUGUACCUGAAGAAAAAGCAUCGGCUAACUCCGUGCCAGCAGCCGCGGUAAUACGGAGGAUGCGAGCGUUAUCCGGAUUUAUUGGGUUUAAAGGGUGCGCAGGCGGUCUGUUAAGGCAGCGGUCAAAGCCCGGGGCUCAACCCCGGCCCGCCGUUGAAACUGGCAGG
rnacentral:rRNA from 1 species